UUCGCCCUUAGAGUUUGAUCCUGGCUCAGAGCGAAUGCUGGCGGCAGGCUUAACACAUGCAAGUCGAGCGGGCGUAGCAAUACGUCAGCGGCAGACGGGUGAGUAACGCGUGGGAACGUACCUUUUGGUUCGGAACAACACAGGGAAACUUGUGCUAAUACCGGAUAAGCCCUUACGGGGAAAGAUUUAUCGCCGAAAGAUCGGCCCGCGUCUGAUUAGCUAGUUGGUGAGGUAACGGCUCACCAAGGCGACGAUCAGUAGCUGGUCUGAGAGGAUGAUCAGCCACAUUGGGACUGAGACACGGCCCAAACUCCUACGGGAGGCAGCAGUGGGGAAUAUUGGACAAUGGGGGCAACCCUGAUCCAGCCAUGCCGCGUGAGUGAUGAAGGCCCUAGGGUUGUAAAGCUCUUUUGUGCGGGAAGAUAAUGACGGUACCGCAAGAAUAAGCCCCGGCUAACUUCGUGCCAGCAGCCGCGGUAAUACGAAGGGGGCUAGCGUUGCUCGGAAUCACUGGGCGUAAAGGGUGCGUAGGCGGAUCUUUAAGUCAGAGGUGAAAGCCUGGAGCUCAACUCCAGAACUGCCUUUGAUACUGGGGAUCUUGAGUUCGGGAGAGGUGAGUGGAACUGCGAGUGUAGAGGUGAAAUUCGUAGAUAUUCGCAAGAACACCAGUGGCGAAGGCGGCUCACUGGCCCGAUACUGACGCUGAGGCACGAAAGCGUGGGGAGCAAACAGGAU
rnacentral:rRNA from 1 species